CAGGGUGCAUGUACCACGUGACUUUUUCGCUAAUCUGGGGUGCCAAAAACAUGGCGGACUGCUCGAUAAAGACAUUUGUGUGCCAGGAAUGUGGAAAGACAUAUAAGUCCAGAAAAAGCCUUCUGCGUGGCUUUAUUUCCAGAAAGAGGCGACAGAAAUCACGGAUCUUAUAACUGCGGCAAUCGGUCUUUCCCGGACAACAUUUCUGUGCGGAAGGAUUAAAAACUAUUCCAGACUGGCGGCCAUGACAGAUGUGGGUUGGAAAUCAUAAAGAGUGACUGAAUACUUUGAUAUGUAGCAAAGACGUUCAUUGUUGAUGACAGUGUUUCUUUAUGAUUUAUUGACAUUAUUCAUCUUCAGAAAUACAGAGCUCUCAAUGCUGUAAAUUUGUUGUGAAAUUCGCCGCUGAAUCCAUGUCCAAAAGUGCUUGUUUUACUAUACAGCAAAGGAGAAAUUUUACCGGGCCGACACCAUAGAGUGAAAGUUGGUGAAUUUUUCAUUAAAUCAGUCAAAUUAAGUAUUUCACCUUAGGUAAAAUUUCACAGUUCACAGUCGGUAAAAAGCUUUCAUUUGUCAUGACCAUUUGAAUUUUAACAUACAUACAACCGGAUUUUUCUUAUGGGAAGCAGUAGAAAAACAUGGAAGAACUUAAAUGAAGCGGGUUAAUGAAAUACAAAAUACUUCCAUUACCAAAUCAUUGAAUCACGCCCCCGUCUUAGCAUCAAGAAAAACGGACCCCUGCUUAGCAAUUUGAUAAAUCCGGCAUAGGAAGCUAUUGAAGGCUCUUAAUUUGUAAUUUCUUAAAUUGUAUAUGUCAAGACAAUACUCGUACAAAUAUCCGUGUCGCAAAAAAGUCUUUUACGGCCUUUUAAAGGAUUUAUCAAUUGAAUUUGCGAAAAUGUCCCCCUUCUUAACAUCAUCAAAUUUGUUCACUUCAGUUGCGCGGUUGCACUUUAAGAGAAAACGAAUGGACUUAGAAACAAAAAACUUGUAGCCGAGUGUCGGAUUUUCAUAUGAGACGGCACUCAUCUAUGUUUCCUUUUAUUUGAACAGGCUGCCGAAAAGAGAUUUAAGAAAAUGUCACUUUUACAGAGGUAUCCGCCAUGUUUUUGGCACCCCAGAUUAGCGAAAAAGUCACGUGGUACAUGCACCCUAAGACAAUACUCGUACAAAUAUCCGUGUCGCAAAAUAGUCUUUUACGGUCUCUUAAAGGGUUUAUUUAUUGAAUUUGCGAAAAUGUCCCCCGUCUUAACAUCAUCAUAUUUGUUCACUUCAGUUGCGCGGUUGCACUUUUAGAGAAAACAAACGGACUUUGAGACAGAAAACUUGUAGCCGAGUGUUGGAUUUUCAUAUGAGACGGCACUCAUCUAUGUUUCCUUUUAUUUGAACAGGUUGCUGAAAAGAUAUUUAAGAAAAUGUUACCUUUAUCGAGCAGUCCGCCAUGUUUUUGGCACCCCAGAUUAGCGAAAAAGUCACGUGGUACAUGCACCCUGUUCAAAAUUCAAUCAAAGUUGCCUAUGUCAAAUGUUAACAUCAAAAUUACUGUUUUAAGAAGACAUAAAGCGAUCAAAGAACUAGCCAGGUACAUGAUGCAGAAACAAAAUAUAUCACAAAAAAGUAUCUGGUUAUAUCAACUUUUUAUUUCAAUCAAAAGCAUUACUUACAAAAGCGGUUGAACUUCGAUAUUAAGUGAAUAUUGUAUACUGUAGUCCCCACUUAUGUUUUAACUAAAUUGCUAAGCAGACAAUUUCUCCUUCAAUUCCGUCUAAAUCAAAGAAUCGAUUUACAGAUGCAAUAUUGUAAACGAACAUUCUACCCUUUGCAGAAGAAUACUAUUGAUUCCAAAGACAGUUAUUACUGAAUGUGAUUGUAAAUACAUUAAAACAGUAUUAAAAAUCAAAACAUAUAAGUGGUUCCUAUAAGAAUGAUUCUGAUUAAGGAAAUCAUCCGUAUACGAGCACACUAAAAAUAAACAGACAACGGCCCGAUCGGAGUUAAUAAGUUCAUAUGUUUUUCACAUUUUUUGCGCUUCUACCUUUGAAAUGUUAUAUACCUUUAAAGUGCUUCUCAUAAAUGGUUUGAUGGAUCUUAAUCAAACUUUGCCUGUAACACCAUUAUAAAGUCUUUUGGCAAAUUUGUUUAAAAGGCAUGCACUUGGGCCCUUUUAGGGGCCACAAGAGUUAAAUAGAAAUACCUUUGAAUGAUUUCUUGUGAUGGUUAUGCGAUAUGGUUUGUAACAACAAAUUAUAGAAAAAAACGUUUAAAUAAGUUUUUGAUUCAGUGUUAUAUUUUCUGGUCGUUUGGGAUCAUGGUGUCCAUUCAGUAGAUGUAUAAUAGAGUUCCGGUUAAGGUAUCCGAUCCACAAAUAGGUAACGUUUCGAUGCCUUGUGAUCCCAUGUGUUUUUGGUAUCAUUUGAAAGAGUUGUGUCUAAUGAUUAGUAAAUGAGAUGACCAUAAGUAAUAUGCAAGAGGCAUUACAGUCAUGUCUUUUGACUGCAAAAUGAUAAAUCUUACAUUGUAAUAUGUAAUAACUGGAUUCUGUUGAAAUAUCAUUGAAGACUAGAAAGUAAAAAAAUAAAAAUUCUGUAACAUAUUUUAUCAUGUAACUUAUAUUUUCUUUUUCUGAAUCAGUAGACAAUACACAUUCAGAUGAUACCAAAAUUAUAUGAGCUUUCCAGGCUUCAAUAUUUGAUAUAUUUUAAUAGCACCGUUAUAUAAACUUGCUUAUUUAUGGAUCGGAUACCUUAAGCUGGUGCUAGGGAGCAUGAGAGGUUUUGCACAUUUCGUUACCUCUCAUGAACGGACUCAAUCAAACUGAGUUUGCUAUUAUUGUACCCCCCGACAACAAAGUUGUAAGGAGGGGUAUACUGGUUUCAGGUUGUCUGUCUGUCCGUCUGUCUGUCUGUCCGUAGACACAAUCUUGUGCGCACCAACUCUCAUCCCCUUGACACAAUUUAAUGAAACUUCACAAAAGUGUUCAGUAACAACUGUAGCUGUGCAUGAUGCAUGUUAGGUUCUUUCAGAAAAAAAAAUUGCAGAGUUACGGGACUUUGAUUUUUGUUACCAUACUAUAUACAUACAGUCUGCAUAUGCAAUCUUGUGCGCACUUACUCUCCUCAUCCCCUUGACACGAUUUAAUGAAACUUCACAAAAGUGAUCAGUAACAACAGUAGUUGUGCAUGAUGCAUGUUAGGUUCUUUCAGAAUUUUUUUGGCAGAGUUAUGGGGCUUUGUUUUUUGUUACUAUACUAUAUACAUAGACACAAUCUUGUGCGCACCAACUCCCCUCAUUCCUUUGACACAAUUUAAUUAAACUUCACACAAGUGUUCUGUAACAACUGUAGUUGUGCAUGGUGCAGGUUAGGUUCUUUCAGACAAAAAAAAAAUUGCAGAGUGACGGGACUUUGAUUUUUGUUACUAUACUAUAUACAUACAGUCUGCAUAUGCAAUCUUGUGCGCACCAACUCUCCUCAUCCCCUUGACAUAAUAUAAUCAAACUUUACACAAGUGAUCAGUAACAACAGUAGUUGUGCAUGAUGCAUGUAAGGUUCUUUCAGAAAAAAAAUUUGCAGACUUACGGGACUUUGAUUUUUGUUACUAUACUAUAUACAUACAGUCUGCAUAUGCAAUCUUGUGCGCGCAUAAUCUCCGGAACCCAUGCUCACAAUUUAAUGAAACUUAACACAAGUGAUCAGUAGUAACCCUAGUUGUGCAUGGUGCAUGUUAGGUUCUUUCAGAAAAAAAUCCUGCACAGUUAUGGGACUUUGUUUUUUGUUAAUAUACUAUAUACAUACAGUCUGCAUACGCAAUCUU